UUUCUUGGGAUAUAGCUUUUUGUUGAUAAGUCUUGCAGCUUGUUACCCAUUGAUUGUGUUGAUUGUUCAGCAUUGUUAGUUGUUAAGGCUUACUAUUUUACUGAUUGUGGUUGCAGCACCCACCUAUUAUUGACAAGGGAUCAUCUAGAAUAUCACUAGCUAAAACCUUCAUCUGAUCUCACUAAGCAAGAAUCUGAGGCAACUCUUCAUGGCUGAAACCAUGCAUCUUUCGGUGGUAAAACUGAUAGUCUGAUCACAAGUCGGCUCACGUCUUGUUCACCUCUCUUGAUCUUCUUGGAGUCGUCGUGACCAAGUGAAGGUAAGCUGUGGUGAUGCCAGUUGAGAGGUUGUGAAUGAACAAGCUUUUUCCCCUGCCUGAAAGGUUGUAUGUUUACCAUGAGGAGGGAAUAUUAUGCAUUUGCAUCUGCUUACCUACCAUCUGAAAAGCUGCUGCUGAAAGUGUUCUUGGUAACACCUGCCCUUCCCCAUGUUUACUUACAGUUGCAAAUACAAUACGUGUGCCUACACCGAAGAUCAGCAUCAGGCCAAAAGGCUGUUAGUACCUUAGACUCGCUUUAAAUCUUUGCCAUAUAAUAUAAUUUGACUAGAAGGCUGAAAGACGGCUGAAGAGUGGAAUUAUUUUCUUCUAAUACGAUCACGCCAACACAAAAAUGAUGAUAUCAUAUUGUGUUGUGUCCCCCUAGAUCAUUUUGUUUGUUCAGGUUCUGUCAAGUUUAUGAACACAAAACUGCUUGCAUGUGUAUUUCAUAAGAUUAUUGUUCCAAGAUUAAAUGUUUGGGCGCAGCAUGUAUGUAUUCUUUUGGCUAAAUAUGGUGGGUGCUUUUCUUUUCGAUUGUGUGGCAGGUGUUGGGGUGCCCUCUGUUGGCUAUCCUGUUGGUUAGGUUUUCCCCUGUAGUUGAACCUGACUAAGUUAUUUGCCAUAGUUUUUUUUUGGCUGAUGAGAAGGCGUAUCACUAUGAUUUCAAUUUUGAAGUUUCAAUACUCCUUUUUACGUCUCAUUUUCUUGCCGAAUAUUUUUUAUUUACACUGAAAACGGUUGCUUCUUAACUAUGAAGCAUGAUAGCCAUCAUUUUCCAUGUGCUGCUGCUGAUUACUUAUUCAACUCUCCUUUUUGGUUCUAAACUUAUGUCUAGGAUGACUAGGCUGAUGUAACCGAGUACAAGUUUCAACGCUACGAGUUAGGCACUUGCACUUACAUUUCUAAAACAAGUCAUGGAAAUGCAACCUCUUGACACUCUUAAUUUUGUGCAUAUACUUGGUCCUGCUUGAGUCAACCUGUCAGUAAUUAUGUGUGUUUUCUUUCUGAUAUUGAAUUCAUGUUCUCUUACUUAUUGGCUAGCCAAAUUGACUUUGGCAUCUAGCUUACAUGCAGCUCAUUCUUUGUGCAACUAGUCACUUACUUAUCAGCAAAGACUACUAGUCAAAUUCUUUUGACCCGCUAUACCGUCAUACUACAUGCAUUUUUCACCUUCUUCUUUGCUCUUCAUAGCUGCAUCCAUGCAGCUUUACUGCCUAGGAUAUUUCUUGCCAGCAUGCAGGCACGAUUAAUGUUAACAACUAGUACUACUUGUAGCAAUAUUAGAACUAACAAAUAGUGAACUACAAAUAAGCAAAAAACUUUAACAGGUACAGGGUAACCAUCAAACAAAUGGCGCAGCGAAGCGUGCUUACGCUUCUAGGUAUAUGAUCAUAUCUCCAACCAUAUUAUAUAAAUUUGAGGCAAUUUUGAAUAAGAACACGAAAAAAUUUGUCGUUGAAAUCAGAAUCAUAUAUUGGUAUAUCAAGCCCCUAAGUGCUACAAAGAUUAACUAAUCUACAGACAUGCAGGCGCACAUUGACCACAAAAAUUCUAUAUAUCUUUUCCCUAGAAAUACCAAACAUGGCUACUAGCUAGAUUCUUAUUUUCACCAUGUGCUUAGUAUCCUAUAAAU